AUUGGACGCUGGCGGCAGGCCUAACACAUGCAAGUCGAGCGGUAGCACAAGAGAGCUUGCUCUCUGGGUGACGAGCGGCGGACGGGUGAGUAAUGUCUGGGAAACUGCCUGAUGGCGGGGGAUAACUAGUGGAAACGGUAGCUAAUACCGCAUAACGUCGCAAGACCAAAGUGGGGGACCUUCGGGCCUCACGCCAUCAGAUGUGCCCAGGUGGGAUUAGCUGGUAGGUGGGGUAACGGCUCACCUAGGCGACGAUCCCUAGCUGGUCUGAGAGGAUGACCAGCCACACUGGAACUGAGACACGGUCCAGACUCCUACGGGAGGCAGCAGUGGGGAAUAUUGCACAAUGGGCGCAAGCCUGAUGCAGCCAUGCCGCGUGUGUGAAGAAGGCCUUCGGGUUGUAAAGCACUUUCAGCGAGGAGGAAGGGUAAUGUGUUAAUAAGACAUUGCAUUGACGUUACUCGCAGAAGAAGCACCGGCUAACUCCGUGC
rnacentral:rRNA from 1 species